GCCCGUUUAGCUCAGUGGUAGAGCGCGCCACUCGUAAUGUCACAGGAUCACCUGUGACGGGCGAUGGUGAGGUCAAUCGUUCAAUCCGGUUAGUGGGCA